GACGAACGCUGGCGGCGUGCUUAACACAUGCCAGUCGAACGGAAAGGCCCUGCUUGCCGGGUACUCGAGUGGCGAACGGGUGAGUAACACGUGGGUGAUCUGCCCUGCACUUCGGGAUAAGCCGGGGAAACUGGGUCUAAUACCGGAUAGGAGCCAUUUUUAGUGUGAUGGUUGGAAAGUUGUUUCGGUGUAGGAUGAGCUCGCGGCCUAUCAGCUUGUUGGUGGGGUAAUGGCCUACCAAGGCGGCGACGGGUAGCCGGCCUGAGAGGGUGGACGGCCACAUUGGGACUGAGAUACGGCCCAGACUCCUACGGGAGGCAGCAGUGGGGAAUAUUGCACAAUGGGCGCAAGCCUGAUGCAGCGACGCCGCGUGGGGGAUGACGGCCUUCGGGUUGUAAACUCCUUUCGCUAGGGACGAAGCUUUUUGUGACGGUACCUAGAUAAGAAGCAACGGCUAACUACGUG
rnacentral:rRNA from 1 species